GUAUUUUAAGUUUAGCUGAACAAGUUACUUUCCUCACUGGGGACCUGGUUAGUAAUGGCCGCAAACAAGUCUCUGGGUGUAGUGUAUGUAGUCACAAGUCUCUGGGCAUAGUGUAUGUAGUCAGAUGCUUGUGCUGGUGGUCAUGAGGCAGCUCCAUGGAGACAGUC
ensembl:snoRNA